rnacentral:lncRNA from 1 species
CAUUGCCAUCCAACCCCCCUUAGUUGCCUCAAAUAGGUUGAUUCCCUUCCCCUUUUAUGAGUCAAACUUGCCUUAAGUUGGGAACCAUGAUCCCCUUUUAUGCUCCUAUGUUCCAUCUCUUUCUCUUUCAUUUCUUUCUUGCCUUUCGCUAUGAUUCAAUGAACCUAGUCACUGUUGACCAAAUUACACACACCCAUUGCAGUCCCUACCUCCCUCAUUUCUCCCAUAUUCUUUUUUUUUUUCACUUUCAUGCAUCUCCAUUUUCUCUCCAUUUGAAAAAAGACACACCUUCUCUUUUCUUUAAUUUUUAAUUUUUCACCACCACAACAAACCCUUGUACCACCAUCAAGUGUCCUUUUAGCCACCUUUAGCACCGCCCCUCUAGC